rnacentral:rRNA from 1 species
UGUACACACCGCCCGUCGCCACUACCGAUUGAAUGGCUCAGUGAGGCAUUCGGACUGGCUCGGGGAGGUUGGCAACGACCACCCCGAGCCGGAAAGUUCUCCAAACUCGGUCAUUUAGAGGAAGUAAAAGUCGUAACAAGGUUUCCGUAGGUGAACCUGCGGAAGGAUCAUUA